AGACAAGUUAAUGAUUCAGGAAGAGGAAAGACAUUUUCAGGGCAGCUCGAAUAUAAAUGAUAAACUAUGCUAUCUUUUACCCUGGGAAUAUGGCCAUUUCCUGUCAUAGAAGCACAGCAAAAGGAGGAAAACAAAUGCAAAAUUUCCUAUUGAAUGAUUCAAUUCACCUGGAAUAACAUUUGAAAUAACGAGAGCAGUCUUCCAUUACCAAAGUCCUGUGCACAUUAUUUAAACUAAAAUGUGUGUUGUGGAAUUGCAGUCCUGUCUGCUUGGAAAGAACUAAUUGCUGCCUUACAACAGAAGAGGAAAGUGGGACUCCAGCUCCCCAAGAACUCAUUCUCCAUACCUGUAAAAUGGGACCAUAGCAAGUACUGCAUCAUGAAUCAUCGUGCAGAGCAUGGAGAUACUCUUCUUGGAGGCAAACAGCAGCAGGACCCAGAGCCACUCUGGGUCCUUAGCAAAACUUUCUAAUUCUUUUUGCUUCUCA